rnacentral:misc_RNA from 1 species
AAUGAUACAUGGACAUUCCAGUUCCUGUACACCCAACCUGAGUACCUUCUCCUGUUGCUUCCGUGGGGCAGCUAACGGUCAGGUUUUUCUACCUGGCUGCUGCUGGCUGCAAAGUUCCCCAUGGCGAUCACACGCCGUGGAGUCCCCACGGGAGGACCCACACAAACCCUGAAGUGAUUGAUCUCUGUCCGAUGCGAAGCUUCUUUGCAAAAAGCA